CAGUAGCCGCGGGAAUACAGAGGGUGCGAGCGUUAAUCGGAUUUACUGGGCGUAAAGCGUGCGUAGGCGGCUUCUUAAGUCGGAUGUGAAAUCCCUGAGCUUAACUUAGGAAUUGCAUUCGAUACUGGGAAGCUAGAGUAUGGGAGAGGAUGGUAGAAUUCCAGGUGUAGCGGUGAAAUGCGUAGAGAUCUGGAGGAAUACCGAUGGCGAAGGCAGCCAUCUGGCCUAAUACUGACGCUGAGGUACGAAAGCAUGGGGAGCAAACAGUAUUAGAUACCCCAGUAGUCCCUGUCUCUUAUAC
rnacentral:rRNA from 1 species